GGCACAUAGUGCCAAGCUGAGGCAAAGUUUUCUUGUCAUAUUGUUUAUGUCUCUGCCAAUGUUUCAAGGUUCAAAUGUUAACUGGUUAUUGUAAACGCACCCACACAAACUACACUCUAAUUCACUAGAGACUCGACACGCAUUGAAGCUCCAUGGCCUAGGGCCACGCUUUAGGCAGCGAGGAACGCACAGGCUACUAUUACACGUAACAAGCCGACGGGGGAUGACAUGGGACGUGAACUCCAGGACUUAAGAGAUUGGUUCCACAAUAGCCCGCACACUCACAGGUGCUGUCACGAGACUCGUGACCUCCCUCGACCCCCAACAGGAGGGGGCUACUGACCCCGGGCAGUGGGUCGCCUCGCACCCCUGGCGGGUAGGCGACUAGCCCUGCCCGGGCAACCCACAUCCUAGACAGCGCCCAGGCGGACGCUGGUUCACUACAGACAGACUACUCACCCCUACCUCCCCGCCCCUUCUUUCCUAGACUACCUCCCCUAGACUGACACCCUGGGGUCCUCUAAGGGCCUCAACAUCACCACGAUAAACGCCAGGGGGCUCAAUAGACCCGAGAAACGCACGAGCGCACUGAGAGACUUCCACAGAUCCAGAAUGGACGUGGUUUUUAUUCAGGAAACACACUUCAAAGAAGGGCUCCGGCCCAAACUGACUAACCACAGAUACACCAAGGGUACUAUAGCGACUACAAGGAAAACAAAUCGAGAGGGGUCGCCAUACUGAUCCAUAAACGGGUACCAUUCCAUGAAACGGAGACUAAGUCAGACCCAGACGGAAGAUACUUGUUCCUGAAGGGCACCAUAGCCGAAACCACAUAUACAUUCGCCAACAUAUACGCCCCCAAUCAAAGGCACUACAGGUUCCUCCACCGCACCAUGCGUAAAUUGCAAACUUUCACAGAGGGCAUACUGAUUUUGGGAGGGGACUUCAACCUGACAAUGGACCCUAAAUGGGAUUCAUCCUCCGGGUCAUCCAGGGUCCCGACGCAACACCUAACCCACAUAAAAGC